rnacentral:rRNA from 1 species
UGGGGAAUAUUGCGCAAUGGGCGAAAGCCUGACGCAGCGACGCCGCGUGAGGGAUGACGGCCUUCGGGUUGUAAACCUCUUUCAGCAGGGACGAAGCGCAAGUGACGGUACCUGCAGAAGAAGCACCGGCCAACUACGUGCCAGCAGCCGCGGUAAGACGUAGGGUGCAAGCGUUGUCCGGAUUUAUUGGGCGUAAAGAGCUCGUAGGCGGCUCGUCGCGUCGACCGUGAAAACUCCAGGCUUAACCUGGGGCCUGCGGUCGAUACGGGCGGGCUAGAGUUCGGUAGGGGAGACUGGAAUUCCUGGUGUAGCGGUGAAAUGCGCAGAUAUCAGGAGGAACACCGGUGGCGAAGGCGGGUCUCUGGGCCGAUACUGACGCUGAGGAGCGAAAGCGUGGGGAGCGAACAG